rnacentral:sRNA from 1 species
ACAGCCACGCCGUUUGUGGCUGACAGCUCACAGUUGUGAGUGCAAUAACAUGAAAAAAGGAAAUGCCAUG